GCUGUUUGAGACACGCCCGACAAUUGGUUAUCUGGGAGAGAGCGGGAUGCGACUCGCCUUCUGAUUGGUCGGCUCCAGGAUGCUCCCUGGACGCAGGUGGCUGGUCUGGGGUUGGAAUUCUACUUGGUAAAGGGAGAGUGGGUUAUGGGCUUUCCUGACCUUCUUGCUCUAGGGAGGGAAAGAAAAAGGAAAGGAGCGGGCAGAGGGAGAUGGCUUGGUGAGGUCCCCGAGAAAUGACUGACCUGACCUUUUUUGUCCCUGCCAAGUUGAACGGAGACAGAACUUGGACUUGUCCUGGCCACAGACGAGUCUCUCGGAGAUAACGAAGGCACACAAUCUCAUAUAAGUUGUAUAUGGACAAUUAUGUAAAAUAGUCAUGAAGAAACAGAAAAAAAGAGAAGUGUUCAGAUGUAUCAUCAAGGAUGCAACUAUCUCUAACCUCACGAUACUAAGUCAUUCUCACUUGUGCCUUGCUGGCUGAGAGCUCAAGAAGUUUAAAGAACAUGCCUCAGAGAGGAACAAAGACACCCUGAAAAAGCUACUCAGUUGUACAAUUCCAAGCAAACAUCUAGCAUACCUUUGUGAUGGCCAGUCUCUGUACAUCCCUCCUAGUCCUUAAUAUCAUACUGAGACAACAGCAUCAAGAUAGAGUAUAUAAUAGAAUUUUCUGGAGAUCAAAAUGAAGAGCAGACUGAACAAGCUCAACUCAGGAAGACACCAGUUGAACCAAGAAAACUUUUUAUGAUACAAUGUUGUACAAGUCCAUUCAUUUUUCACAUAUUUCCAUAUGAGUCAUGUUGGGAGGAAAAAAAACCAGAACAACAACAACAACUACCAAAAAAAAAAAGUAUGCUUCAAUCCACAGUCAUUUUCCACAGUUCUUUUUCUGGAUGUGGAUAGCAUUUUCUAUCCAAAGUUUAUUGGAAUUGCCUUGUGUCACUAAAUUGCUGAGAAGACCUGUCUAUCAUAGAUGAUCAUCACAUAAUCUUGCCCUUGUUGUAUUCACUGUUUUCCUGGUUCUGCUUUUUUCACUAAUCAUCAGUUUGAAAAAAAUAAUAGCAAUGAGGUUCAAACUUAAGUCCUCUAACUUCAAAUCCCAUGUACCACAAUGUUCUUCAAUCACCUCACAAAUAAAUAGAAUAAUCUACCUAA